GCAGAGGAGUCGCCCCUUGGGGGUCAGUACAGAGAAUGCAGCUUCAGGCACCACAUUAGCUUCCCUCAGUCUGGUGUCUGUAAUGUAAAUCCCAAUAGACCUUCAUUACAGAAACAAGAGACUGGAUAUUUCUGUUGGUUUCCAAGUGUGUCUGUGUCUGUGUGUGUGUGUGUGUGUGUGUGUGUGUGUGUGAGGAGCCAGUCAUUGAACAUUGUUAAACUCUUAACAUUCUGCGACUGCAUGUCUCCACUUUUCCUAUCUAUUAAAAACAGUUGUAUUUAGUGGGAAUCUGAGUCUGCUGGAUUUUUCCACUUGACAUCCUGGAGGAAAUGAGAAGGUCUCCUGCUGAGUGAGAACUACUAGGAAAGCGACCAGAUCUUAAUCUGGGGGCCAAACACAGAGAAACGUUUGAUCCAGAAGCUGACCGGGUGUCAGACCAGAGAAUUAACAACAGCUCAGCUCUCGGUUCGGACUUUCUUUGUCAAAAUACACCCCCCACCCCCCAGCCAGGCGCCUCGACACCAUGGGGGGGCCGAGUAUUCAUGCCCCCCAACCUGCAAAGAGCUCCAUUCAUUCCAGCGGAAACAUUUCAAUGAAAACUAGCGACACACUGAAAUGUGCUGUAAUGUGUAAUAAUAAGGUGGAACACAUACUUAAUAACAUGAGUUAUUACACAGUCCCCAUGUUUUACUUUUGGGGGGAUUGUAAGUAUCUGUCAACUCACAUCUCAUAACUACUUUAUUACCUUUAUUAUUAUUUGUCCUCAAAUGAUCUACUCAAAUGACUCAAAAGGGAAUUGGGUGCUUCUUUGAGUAACAGCCACACCUCUCAGACACUGAGGACACUGAGGACAAUGAGGACAAUGAGGACAGGUGUAAUGAGAACUGCGUCCACUGCUCUCUGAUACACACACACACACACACACACACACACACACACACACACACACGCACACACACAGCGAUCAGACCCCCGUGUGAUAAUCGGAUGGAUCUCUUCUCCCUUUCUGCGGGUCUAUAACUGCUCAUGCUAACAUGUAGCAACAUGCUAAGUCAAUCUUCUGAUACUUCCUCCGGAUGAGGACAACACAUUUAUUUCAGCAUAGAUGGGAAUGAUUAUUACUUCCUGUAAGGUUUCAUAAUCAAAUCCACGUUGUGUUCAUUGUCUGUUAAUAUAUAUUUUUUACAUUCUUACAUGUAGUUUCCAACUGCAGAUAUUUUAUAAUGUAGUGUCAUUAUUGUAGUUUAUAAUGCUCUAAAGUCACAGUUAAAGUGCAUCAAAAUGUAAUUAUGUAAGUCCGGUAUUCUGAAAUUCUUUAUAAUAUCUUAUAUUGUAAUAUUAUUAUUGUUAGAAACAUUUUUGACACGUGAACAAACUGGUAAACGUUACGCAGCACGGAACAAAAUAAGAAAUACAAAUGAAAAACAUACAAAGGUCAGCUGUCAAAGUACGUCGGCCCCUGAGAAUAUUCUCACAUCAAAUGCUUCUAAAAUUAGACAUUACGUAACGCGCGUUGCGUUCGUGUCAGAGGUAGGGACCCCGGUGCAUGCUGGGUAUGGACACGACGGCUAAACUAACUCAUUAUUAAGAGACACUGGAGACGAUGAGCGCACGCGCAACCUCGAAGGCGUCGUUUUACAUUCGACACGCAGAGCGGCGCAACCGAGAGAAACCGCACACACGCACGCACAGACACACACACGCACAUAAGCGCACACAGUCCGGGUCGGAUGGCGUUAUCAACACAAAGAGAAAUAGAGAAAUAGUGGUGUGCAUCAACAUCCAAGUGCGCCUCCAAGGCCGUCGUAUCUCUGACACGCACAGACACACAAACAGACACACAACCCUGUGGUGGGUCACUGGGUUUUCAAGGUCCCAUCUGAAGCUGGUUACAUUGUGCCUUCGUAUCUCAAAGUUACACAAUCUAUGAAGACAAAGUCAAGACAAAGAGGCCCUGAAGGCAGCACGCGUGCAACCAGCUGGUCCAAAUACGGCGCGUUGAUGAAACGUUGAGGUGCAGCAGAGGAGCAGAACUGAUUUAGGGCGACGUCGGGUGUUUCACGCAGCUCUUAAACACACACCCUGUAAACGAUGAAGAAGCCGCUUCGUCUGAAUCGCAGCCCGAAGCAGUGAAACGAACGCUGCUGAUACUCGCGGGAAAGAGAGCGCGGACGAAUGCUGAAGGGCCUCUACUCCUCGGACGCGAAGGUGGGAGAAUGAAGCGCGCACUCGUGCGUCAGCAGCCACAACACCUCGAGAGUUUGUUUGCGGCGCGAAGCCUCCUCUGUCCGCCGGAGGAGAGAGCGGCAGCAGGAAAGGGCCCCACAUUUGGCUUCAGAAGAGCUCGGUGAUCUUCACUCCCACAGGAGGCCACGCGACCCAACAGAACAUGGAGAUGUUCCACCACCAGCAGGUUCCUUCCUCAUUUGAUCCUCAAUCGAGAGUUGAAGGAAGAAGCGAAUCCUUUCGGACGAAUGACUCAGUGUAAAUCCAAAGAUGCAAAGACGUGUUUGUCGCACAUUGUGAAGGUCACGCUGGUACAAACUCGUCGUGUUGUCAGCCGAGGUCGUGGAGUUGUGAUCCAUACGUAAUGAGAGAAGUUCAACCCGCCGGUCUCCAGCAAUGUGCACUCACAGACAUCCGAUUCACUUUCAUUUGGAGAUUUCGUUUAAUAAGACAUCUGUGUCCAACCUUGUAAAUGGUUUUAUGUGCUGACAUCCGAAAUAAAUAAGCUUGUUUGUUUUUUUUCAUUAUACAGCAUAUUUUACGAUUGCAUUUUAACAACCAAAGUGCAUUUAGCUUGAAAAUAAACUCAAGGAUGUAAUAAACGUCUCAAAGAUCGACUUAAAAGCAAUCUAGAGUAGAACUUUUUGUAAAUGGAUUUUUUUCCAGUAAAUUAAACAAUAAACUGUCAAGAGGAAAAGUGACGUGUUACGUACUUUUCUUAGCAAGAAAAACAAAAACAGCUAAACACAAAAAGCGACAAACUACUUUGUUGGCGAGUUGGCGCCAAAGUAUUCUCUGGUAUACAUGGCAGGUAGCAUGUAGCAGGUAGCACGUAGCAGGUAGCAGGUAGCACGUAGCACGUAGCACGUAGCAGGUAGCAGGUAGCACGUAGCACGUAGCACGUAGCUAGGUCGCUAAAUAGCUCCGGGACCAGAGACCAGAUCCGACUGCAGCCUUUGCUGAGUCUCUCAGGGGGAACAAACAGCAUCACGAGCUCGUGGACUCGGAUCCUCGGGCCUUUUUAACAAAAACAGCAAGUCAAUAUGUUUUCUUUGAGGAAACUGACAGUCGACACCAACAAAUCACACAAAGCAACAUGAAGCUGGAUGAGAAACCCAGUGGAAUGUAAAAAAACAUCCUAAACUAUUAUCUCUUGGAUGAAGGGGGGUUAGAACCCAAAGAGCUCAGCAGGGAAAUCACGUUUCACUGCGUGUGUGUGUGUGUGUGUGCGUGUGCGUGUGCGUGUGCGUGUGUGUGUGUGCGUGUGUGUGUGUGUGUGUGUGUGUGUGUGUGUAAGAGAAGAAUGGAGACAUUGUAGCCGUUAGUGUGCGUGUGUCCACACUUGAUUUAAAGCCACUUUCAACAUUUUCUUUCAGAGUGAACGGAAAACUUUAGUUUUAGCCAAAGUUUUGUGGUUUGAUGAGAAAAACAUGGCGGUAAGGUGCUUUCUGAAAGGCUGCAUUGUCGAAACAGAGCGUUCUUGUAAUCACAUUAUCUCUCAAAGGAUGUCCAUGCUUUCUUAUUGUUUGAUUUUAUGUCGGUGUCAUAUGAAAUAACGCAUGUGAAUGAAAUGUAGAGGUACAUUAUUCCUCUUUUUAGUUCAUUGCUGAUUGGUUUGUCUGCAGGAUUACGGAAAAAAAAGAGAUUUUGGAUUGGAUCCAAAUCAAGGGGCGGAUAUAAAUAGUUUGUUUUUCCCUUUUUGUGCAUGAAGCCAAUUAGAGACCUCGACACUUUGUCCACAGCGAAACAUCCUCAGGUAGGAAGCCUCUCAUUAAACAUGGUUUAAUCAUUAUUCUGUUUGUCCUACUGUUCCUUUUUAAUUACAAAAACAGCUUCCAGAGCAAAUUGCUGAGCUUCAGUUCUGCCGAGGACGACGUGUCUGAUCUCGGGUGAAGUUUGUUCAAUCGGGUUAAAAGUAUGACUCAUUCACUCCACACAGAUUUCACAACAGCAUAACGACAGUUUGUUGGACGUCUCACGUGUCAGCCUCGCGUCAGUGACGAGCCGGUACGUCAGCAGGACAUCGAGCAAUGCGACGCGUCCUGCGAUGUGAACUCGAUCCGGAUCAGGAAAUGAAGCAACGAUCUGGCAAAGGUUUCCUCCAAAGUCGUGCGAGAGGAGCAGCCGCUCCGUGACCUGUGGAGGUGUCUGCUGUCCGCGUUGCCGCCAGAGGUCCGACAAGCUGACGGCAUCGGCGGCUGUGAUACUAAUUAUUUAGGAAGCACAUCGUCCAAAUCCACUGGAGAAAUGACGUGUGAGCCCGGGGGGGUUCAGACACAUGACAGGAGGCAGGUGGGCAGGUGGGCAGGUGGGGGGCUUCAGGCUGCACCUGAUGUCCAAUGGUUCCCGUGUAAAUCAACACUUUUACUUCUUCAUCGUGCAGCAAAGACCACAACAUCCCUGAAACGAGGAAAAGCAGAUGUGACGUGACAAGGCGUGCAGAUGUUGUAACAAACCGCUGCUCUCGUGCACGACGAGCCACAAGUGGGCGGCGCCCGUGACCACCAACCGCCGGCCUCCAAAAACAUGUUUUUCGUUUUUAACACGGCGGAAUAACUGGUGUCCACUGGUCCCUGCUAAUCACCGCAGGACGUUUUCCUCCAGGAGUCGGACAAAGGGUCCCGAGGGACGACCCGCAGCGUGCAGCCCACCCCUCCGGGCGCGUACAGUAGCGUGCGACCUUCAAGCCGCCCUUCGAGGUCGUCUGGGUGCUUUUCGUUCAUUCACAGAUGUAAACAAGGCCCCACGACCUUCACACAUGUGGGGAGUUUAAUUCUGUCCAAAUACUGUGGAAGCAUUUUCUACUUCUUGACUUUCCAACUGCACAACAAAUAGUGAACGAAUGUGUUGUCGACUUCCCCUCAUGACUCUGUAAUACUUUAUGCAAGAAAACCGCUCAGUAACAACGCCGUUCAUGUCAUUUCAUCCAAUGAAGUGCGGAUUAACUCCAGCUAUUUGUGUUGUGUUCAAAGAGGCAAAUGGCCAUUUAGUCUAAAUUAUGACAGUAAAAAUAGUAAUGAGGGAACAUAAAAUAAGUUUUGCGAUAAAAACAAUGUUUAGAUACACAACAAAUAAUAAAAGACAAGAAGGUCA